rnacentral:tRNA from 1 species
CAGAAAUAUAGUUUAAAAAAUUCAGGUUUGUCAGACUUGAGAUGCAAAUAAUUGCUAUUUCUGU